GCGGAGGUUUCCCAGUUUGGCCAAAGGAGCAGGGUUCAGGUCCCUGUAGCGUAGAAAAGUUAUCUUAAGAUAAAAGUGCGUAAGCUUUCGUGGGUUCAAAUCCCACCCUCCGCA
rnacentral:tRNA from 1 species